UACGUAGGGUGCAAGCGUUGUCCGGAAUUAUUGGGCGUAAAGAGCUCGUAGGUGGCCUGUCGCGUCGGCUGUGAAAACUCGGGGCUCAACUCCGAGCUUGCAGUCGAUACGGGCAGGCUAGAGUUCGGCAGGGGAGACUGGAAUUCCUGGUGUAGCGGUGAAAUGCGCAGAUAUCAGGAGGAACACCGAUGGCGAAGGCAGGUCUCUGGGCCGAUACUGACGCUGAGGAGCGAAAGCGUGGGGAGCGAACAGG
rnacentral:rRNA from 1 species